UACGUAGGGGGCGAGCGUUGUCCGGAAUCAUUGGGCGUAAAGCGCGUGUAGGCGGCUCGAUAAGUCCGGUGUGAAAUCUUGGGGCUCAACCCCAAGCCUGCACUGGAUACUGUCGAGCUUGAGUCCGGGAGGGGAGAGCGGAAUUCCUAGUGUAGCGGUGAAAUGCGCAGAUAUUAGGAAGAACACCGGUGGCGAAGGCGGCUCUCUGGAACGGUACUGACGCUGAGACGCGAAAGCGUGGGGAGCGAACAGG
rnacentral:rRNA from 1 species